rnacentral:rRNA from 1 species
UAAUGACUCUCGGCAACGGAUAUCUCGGCUCUCGCAUCGAUGAAGAACGUAGCGAACUGCGAUACUUGGUGUGAAUUGCAGAAUCCCGUGAACCAUCGAGUCUUUGAACGCAAGUUGCGCCCGAAGCCGUUUGGCCGAGGGCACGUUUGCCUGGGUGUCA